AAUGCUUAGCUAUUGCUUUAUAUAAAACUAAAUGGCAUUAUAAGUUGGUUUCGAAUGAAAAUGCCAUACUACGUACUCAUAAAUUAUUUAAAACAGAAUUUAAGGUAGAAAAUUACAUUUGUAAAACUAUUGCAGGGAAAUAUAGAAGUGGUAUUGCAAAAUUUUGCUGUGGUGUUUCGCUUCUAAAAUUUAAAACGGGCCGGUAUCAGAACUUACCAAUUAUUGAAAGAAUAUGUUCUUAUUGUAAUGAUAUCAUUGAAGAUGAGAAACAUGUAAUUUUGAAAUGUCCACUUUAUGCAGAUUUUCGUGCUGUAUUGUUAAGUUACGCU
rnacentral:lncRNA from 1 species